AUACGGAGGAUGCGAGCGUUAUCCGGAUUUAUUGGGUUUAAAGGGAGCGUAGGUGGGAUAUUAAGUCAGCUGUGAAAGUUUGGGGCUCAACCUUAAAAUUGCAGUUGAUACUGGUUUCCUUGAGUACGGUACAGGUGGGCGGAAUUCGUGGUGUAGCGGUGAAAUGCUUAGAUAUCACGAAGAACUCCGAUCGCGAAGGCAGCUCACCGGGCCGGAACUGACACUGAUGCUCGAAAGUGCGGGUAUCAAACAGGAUUAGAUACCCUGGUAGUCCGCACAGUAAACGAUGAAUACUCGCUGUUUGCGAUACACUGUAAGCGGCCAAGCGAAAGCGUUAGGUAUUCCACCUGGGGAGUACGCCGGCAACGGUGAAACUUAAAGGAAUUGGCGGGG
rnacentral:rRNA from 1 species